AGGGUUGAUAGGUUAAGAGCUGAUUAAUUGGACGUUACCCACAGAAGAAGCACCGGCUAACUCCGUGCCAGCAGCCGCGGUAAUACGGAGGGUGCGAGCGUUAAUCGGAAUUACUGGGCGUAAAGGGUGCGUAGGUGGUUUGAUAAGUUAUCUGUAAAAGCCCUGGGCUCAACCUGGGAAGGCCAGAUAAAACUGUUGGACUGGAGUAUAGGAGAGGGUAGUGGAAUUUCCGGUGUAGCGGUGAAAUGCGUAGAGAUCGGAAGGAACACCAGUGGCGAAGGCGGCUACCUGGCCUGAUACUGACACUGAAGCACGAAAGCGUGGGGAGCAAACAGGAUUAGAUACCCUGGUAGUCCACGCUGUAAACGAUGUCAACUAGCUGUUGG
rnacentral:rRNA from 1 species